rnacentral:rRNA from 1 species
UACGUAGGGCGCAAGCGUUAUCCGGAAUUAUUGGGCGUAAAGAGCUCGUAGGCGGUUUGUCGCGUCUGCCGGUGAAAGUCCGGGCUCAACUCCGGAUCUGCGGUGGGUACGGGCAGACUAGAGUGAUGUAGGGGGAGACUGGAAUUCCUGGUGUAGCGGUGAAAUGCGCAGAUAUCAGGAGGAACACCGAUGGCGAAGGCAGGUCUCUAGGCAUUAACUGACGCUGAGGAGCGAAAGCGUGGGGAGCAAACAGG